GUUUAAGUAGCUUAUGUAAAGUAUAACAUUGAAGCUGUUGUGAAGAGAUUAUUCUCCUUGGACA
rnacentral:tRNA from 1 species